CUGAGUGACCAGCUGGAAAUUUCCAUCAGUGCCUGAGCAUCCUUGGCUCUGCCUGUGGGCAGGACUACCUCAGCUUUACGCAUCUGGAGCUAAUUGGGGCAAUCAGGCCAGAGAUGAUUUAAGAUCUGCACUGUCAUCUCCUUCCUGCCAGUUCGUCAGCUGCCUGAUGACUUUUCUCCAGUGUCGAUUGCUGCUCACCACUUGGAUCUCGGUUCGUUUCCACUCACUGGGAAAAAUCUCCAAACCUCACCUGCUUGCCCUCCUGCUCACUCACCACUUUGGAUCCAACGAGGUCAGCUGUUUCACUUUUUCAAACUCUGAGGAAUUACAUCACCUCCCCCUCAAUACCACACCUCCACCUCCUGCAAUGUGACCAUUACUUACCUGCCCAGAUCCAGUUGUCCUUACGUUCAUGCCACUUUAAUAGUUUCACGGCUAUGCUUCCAUGCCACAGUUUGCCAUGUCCCUGUGUUUUCAACUGUAUUGUACAGUCACUAAUAAAUUGUGUUAAAACGCUCCCUUGCCUCCGCUCUGGGUGUCUGCGAUGGGAUUCUGUUCAAGUUG
ensembl:lncRNA